UACAGAGGUCUCAAGCGUUGUUCGGAUUCAUUGGGCGUAAAGGGUGCGUAGGUGGCGCCGUAAGUCGGGUGUGAAAUUUCGGAGCUUAACUCCGAAACUGCAUUCGAUACUGCGGUGCUUGAGGACUGGAGAGGAGACUGGAAUUCAUGGUGUAGCAGUGAAAUGCGUAGAGAUCAUGAGGAAGACCAGUGGCGAAGGCGGGUCUCUGGACAGUUCCUGACACUGAGGCACGAAGGCCAGGGGAGCAAAACGGGG
rnacentral:rRNA from 1 species